GGUAGCUCAGUGGUAGAGUGCUUGCCUUGCAUGCAUAAGGCCCUGGGUUCGAUUCCUCAGUACCA
rnacentral:tRNA from 1 species